rnacentral:rRNA from 1 species
UAGGGAAUAUUGCUCAAUGGGGGAAACCCUGAAGCAGCAACGCCGCGUGGAGGAUGAAGGUUUUCGGAUUGUAAACUCCUUUUGUUAGAGAAGAUAAUGACGGUAUCUAACGAAUAAGCACCGGCUAACUCCGUGCCAGCAGCCGCGGUAAUACGGAGGGUGCAAGCGUUACUCGGAAUCACUGGGCGUAAAGAGUGCGCAGGCGGGGUAGCAAGUCAGAUGUGAAAGGCUAUGGCUUAACCAUAGAACUGCAUUUGAAACUGUUACUCUUGAGUAUGGGAGAGGUAGGUGGAAUUCUUGGUGUAGGGGUAAAAUCCGUAGAGAUCAAGAGGAAUACUCAUUGCGAAGGCGACCUACUGGAACAUUACUGACGCUCAUGCACGAAAGCGUGGGGAGCAAACAGG